rnacentral:rRNA from 1 species
GCCUACAGCCAUGCCAACCUUAAACAUGACCCAUCUUCUCUGGUCUCACAAACUAAGCAGGACCUGGGAAGUAAUUGGGCAGAUCCCCUGAAGAACUCUGGACGCCUGUAGGCU